rnacentral:rRNA from 1 species
GCGCGCAGAAUGUAGCAAUACAGGAAAGCGGCGAAAGGGAGGGGACAACAUAGGAAUCUGCCCUGGGGUCGAGGAUAGCGUCGGGAAACUGACGGUAAUACUCGAUGAUAUCUUUGGAUCAAAGGAGCAAUCUGCCCCGGGAUGAGCCUAUGCCCCAUUAGCUAGUUGGCGGUGUAAUGGACCACCAAGGCUGUGAUGGGUAGCUGGUGUGAGAGCACGACCAGCCUCACUGGCACUGAGACACUGGCCAGACACCUACGGGUGGCUGCAGUCGAGAAUCUUCGGCAAUGGACGAAAGUCUGACCGAGCGACGCCGCGUGUGGGAUGAAGGUCUUCGGAUUGUAAACCACUGUCGAGGGGGAUUAAGGGCAACUUGAAAGAACCCUGGAGGAAGGGGAGGCUAAGCUCGUGCCAGCAGCCGCGGUAAGACGAGCUCCCCAAACGUUAUUCGGUAUCACUGGGCUUAAAGAGUUCGUAGGCGGCGAAGUAGGUGAGGUGUGAAAGCCCUCGGCUCAACCGAGGAACUGCGCUUCAAACCGCUUUGCUAGAGGGAGAUAGGGGUAAGCGGAACAGAUGGUGGAGCGGUGAAAUGUGUUGAUAUCAUCUGGAACACCGGUGGCGAAAGCGGCUUACUGGGUCUUUUCUGACGCUGANGAACGAAAGCUAGGGUAGCGAACGGGAUUAGAUACCCCGGUAGUCCUAGCCGUAAACGAUGAGCACUAGUCUGAGGGACUUUCCCGGGUUUCUCGGACGUAGCGAAAGU